AUGAGACCAUUAACCAUCUUCUCAUUGAAUGCACCUUCACAUGAUCAUCGAUCGGUGUGGCAUAUGGUGUGGUCGGCUAUUGGGAAUCUGGACCAAGUCUCACUGUUGACGAUAACUUGGGAAAUGAAACGAGGGCCAUUCUUUUCUUUUUUGCGAAAUGAAACGAGGACCAUUCUCUCGCUCGUCACUUGGGAACUUUGUAAACACCGCAAUGCUAUUGUCUUUGGUGGAGCAACACUUUUUGUGCUUACGAUCAUUAAGAAAAUUGUGACCGAAGGGAGGACAUGGCAGCAAGCCGGACUACUCAAGGGUAGGUGGGUUAGUAGAGAGUACUCAAUCAUUGUGGCUGAUAGAUGGUGGGCUACCAUGUACUCCUUCCGUUUCAAAAUAGAUGACUCAACUCUGUACUAA
rnacentral:rRNA from 1 species